UGAAUGGUGGUCUACCUAUAUGGGUGCGCUUCACGACCGCGGUACGAGGUCCUGACUGUAAAGUGGACAUCAUCGACAAUGUAGACGGAACUUACGUGAUGCUUCGCCGAUUUAUUGGUUACACGAAACUAAUAAUGAGUAAUUUUCAACAGUUUCUUGAAGCACAUCUUGGAUCGAGUAGCGAUGGGUCCAGAAGUGAAAGUUUAGAUGUAAUGAACGUGAGCAAGCGAGGUGCCGCUCCUACAAGCCAGGAAAGAUUAAUAUAUCUGAGUCAAAACAGAGAAUGCGGCAUUUUCGAAGUUGAAGAUCUAGUAAAUGGUGAGUAUGAG
rnacentral:lncRNA from 1 species